rnacentral:RNase_P_RNA from 1 species
GAUAAUCGCGCUUAAUAAGUGAGGAAAGUCCGUGCAUCCAAGGACAGAUUCCCGGAGAAAUUCCGGACGGUGUGAACCGGUGGAAAGUGCCACAGAAAUGCAGACUGCCGAUGGAUUUUUUAUCACAGGCGAUGGUGCAACGGUGAGUUAAGAGCUUCACCGCAGAUACCGAGAGGUAUUGGGCAGGUAAACCCGAAUCGGAUGCAAGAUAAGAUUGAAGGCUAAGGUUGUCCGCCAUCUUCAAACAUAUCGCUUGCGGCUGUGAGUAAUUACAGUCCCAGACAAAUGAUUAUCUAAAAACAGAACACGGCUUAUGAACUGC